AUCCAGCUGACGAGUCCCACAUAAGACGAAACGCGCGUCAAACUGGAU
rnacentral:hammerhead_ribozyme from 1 species